rnacentral:rRNA from 1 species
UGGGGAAUAUUGGACAAUGGGCGAAAGCCUGAUCCAGCCAUGCCGCGUGUGUGAAGAAGGUCUUCGGAUUGUAAAGCACUUUAAGUUGGGAGGAAGGGCAUUAACCUAAUACGUUAGUGUUUUGACGUUACCGACAGAAUAAGAACCGGCUAACUCUGUGCCAGCAGCCGCGGUAAUACAGAGGGUGCAAGCGGUAAUCGGAAUUACUGGGCGUAAAGCGCGCGUAGGUGGUUUGUUAAGUUGGAUGUGAAAUCCCCGGGCUCAACCUGGGAACUGCAUUCAAAACUGACUGACUAGAGUAUGGUAGAGGGUGGUGGAAUUUCCUGUGUAGCGGUGAAAUGCGUAGAUAUAGGAAGGAACACCAGUGGCGAAGGCGACCACCUGGACUAAUACUGACACUGAGGUGCGAAAGCGUGGGGAGCAAACA